CAGGACUAGAACGACUUCAGAAACCCACUGAAUCACUGAAAGGGACUUGUGAAGUAAAAAGCAGCCAGGAGCCCAUGCAAGUCGUCUAGUGGCCCUUUACAGCCUGAAAAGAACAGCAGAGCCACCACGUUCCAGAUGCUAGCAGGAUGCUGACCAGACUUCUCUGGACAGACAACCCCACCAAUAUGUCCCGGAGCUCUGAUUCCCCAGAGCCCCAACCUACUAGGGAAAAAGAGAGGCAGGCUGGGAGUAUGGAUCUGUCAAUGCCCAUGUUCAGCAGUGAAGCAAUUACAGAAGCCAGACCUUCCACCUUCUGCAUCCCACAAUCACCUUGGGUCUAUACUCCCAGAGGGUUA